rnacentral:rRNA from 1 species
CCUUACACCCGCCAUCCGCCAGGGGACUACGAGCAUUAGCUUAAAACCCAAAGGACUUGGCGGUGCUUUAGAUCCACCUAGAGGAGCCUGUUCUAGAACCGAUAACCCCCGUUCAACCUCACCCUCCCUUGUCAAUUCCGCCUAUAUACCGCCGUCGUCAGCUUACCCUGUGAAGGGUCAAUAGUAAGCAAAACUAGUAUAACCCAAAACGCCAGGUCGAGGUGUAGCAUAUGGGAGGGGAAGAAAUGGGCUACAUUCCCUAUUCUAGGGAACACGGACAAUGUAAUGAAAAGCACAUUAGAAGGAGGAUUUAGUAGUAAGUAAAAAAUAGAGUGUU